GACGAACGCUGGCGGCGUGCUUAACACAUGCAAGUCGAACGGAAAGGCCCUGCUUGCAGGGUGCUCGAGUGGCGAACGGGUGAGUAACACGUGGGUGAUCUGCCCCUUACUUUGGGAUAAGCCUGGGAAACUGGGUCUAAUACUGGAUGGGACCAUGCUGUAGGUGGUGUGGUGGAAAGAUUAGUUUCGGUAAGGGAUGAGCUCGCGGCCUAUCAGCUUGUUGGUGGGGUAAUGGCCUACCAAGGCGUCGACGGGUAGCCGGCCUGAGAGGGUGGACGGCCACAUUGGGACUGAGAUACGGGCCAGACGCCUACGGGAGGCAGCAGUGGGGAAUAUUGCACAAUGGGCGCAAGCCUGAUGCAGCGACGCCGCGUGGGGGAUGACGGCCUUCGGGUUGUAAACUCCUGUAAGCCAUGACGAAGCCCUUGUGGUGACGGUAGUGGUAGAAGAAGCACCGGCUAACUACGUG
rnacentral:rRNA from 1 species